rnacentral:rRNA from 1 species
GUGUGUGACCAAAUCACCCGGAAUGGUGCCCAGUCUCGCUGGAUCUGGAAAGCUAAGCUGUGUUGGACCUUGUUAGUACUUGGAUGAGUAAGCCGCCAGUACUGGCCAGGUGUUGUAGCUG